GGGUUGUGAGGUUAAGCGACUAAGCGUACACGGUGGAUGCCCUGGCAGUCAGAGGCGAUGAAGGACGUGCUAAUCUGCGAUAAGCGUCGGUAAGGUGAUAUGAACCGUUAUAACCGGCGAUUUCCGAAUGGGGAAACCCAGUGUGUUUCGACACACUAUCAUUAACUGAAUCCAUAGGUUAAUGAGGCGAACCGGGGGAACUGAAACAUCUAAGUACCCCGAGGAAAAGAAAUCAACCGAGAUUCCCCCAGUAGCGGCGAGCGAACGGGGAGGAGCCCAGAGCCUGAAUCAGUGUGUGUGUUAGUGGAAGCGUCUGGAAAGGCGCGCGAUACAGGGUGACAGCCCCGUACACAAAAAUGCACAUGCUGUGAGCUCGAUGAGUAGGGCGGGACACGUGGUAUCCUGUCUGAAUAUGGGGGGACCAUCCUCCAAGGCUAAAUACUCCUGACUGACCGAUAGUGAACCAGUACCGUGAGGGAAAGGCGAAAAGAACCCCGGCGAGGGGAGUGAAAAAGAACCUGAAACCGUGUACGUACAAGCAGUGGGAGCCUCUUUUAUGGGGUGACUGCGUACCUUUUGUAUAAUGGGUCAGCGACUUAUAUUCUGUAGCAAGGUUAACCGAAUAGGGGAGCCGAAGGGAAACCGAGUCUUAACUGGGCGUUAAGUUGCAGGGUAUAGACCCGAAACCCGGUGAUCUAGCCAUGGGCAGGUUGAAGGUUGGGUAACACUAACUGGAGGACCGAACCGACUAAUGUUGAAAAAUUAGCGGAUGACUUGUGGCUGGGGGUGAAAGGCCAAUCAAACCGGGAGAUAGCUGGUUCUCCCCGAAAGCUAUUUAGGUAGCGCCUCGUGAAUUCAUCUCCGGGGGUAGAGCACUGUUUCGGCAAGGGGGUCAUCCCGACUUACCAACCCGAUGCAAACUGCGAAUACCGGAGAAUGUUAUCACGGGAGACACACGGCGGGUGCUAACGUCCGUCGUGAAGAGGGAAACAACCCAGACCGCCAGCUAAGGUCCCAAAGUCAUGGUUAAGUGGGAAACGAUGUGGGAAGGCCCAGACAGCCAGGAUGUUGGCUUAGAAGCAGCCAUCAUUUAAAGAAAGCGUAAUAGCUCACUGGUCGAGUCGGCCUGCGCGGAAGAUGUAACGGGGCUAAACCAUGCACCGAAGCUGCGGCAGCGACACUGUGUGUUGUUGGGUAGGGGAGCGUUCUGUAAGCCUGUGAAGGUGUACUGUGAGGUAUGCUGGAGGUAUCAGAAGUGCGAAUGCUGACAUAAGUAACGAUAAAGCGGGUGAAAAGCCCGCUCGCCGGAAGACCAAGGGUUCCUGUCCAACGUUAAUCGGGGCAGGGUGAGUCGACCCCUAAGGCGAGGCCGAAAGGCGUAGUCGAUGGGAAACAGGUUAAUAUUCCUGUACUUGGUGUUACUGCGAAGGGGGACGGAGAAGGCUAUGUUGGCCGGGCGACGGUUGUCCCGGUUUAAGCGUGUAGGCUGGUUUUCCAGGCAAAUCCGGAAAAUCAAGGCUGAGGCGUGAUGACGAGGCACUACGGUGCUGAAGCAACAAAUGCCCUGCUUCCAGGAAAAGCCUCUAAGCAUCAGGUAACAUCAAAUCGUACCCCAAACCGACACAGGUGGUCAGGUAGAGAAUACCAAGGCGCUUGAGAGAACUCGGGUGAAGGAACUAGGCAAAAUGGUGCCGUAACUUCGGGAGAAGGCACGCUGAUAUGUAGGUGAAGUCCCUCGCGGAUGGAGCUGAAAUCAGUCGAAGAUACCAGCUGGCUGCAACUGUUUAUUAAAAACACAGCACUGUGCAAACACGAAAGUGGACGUAUACGGUGUGACGCCUGCCCGGUGCCGGAAGGUUAAUUGAUGGGGUCAGCGCAAGCGAAGCUCUUGAUCGAAGCCCCGGUAAACGGCGGCCGUAACUAUAACGGUCCUAAGGUAGCGAAAUUCCUUGUCGGGUAAGUUCCGACCUGCACGAAUGGCGUAAUGAUGGCCAGGCUGUCUCCACCCGAGACUCAGUGAAAUUGAACUCGCUGUGAAGAUGCAGUGUACCCGCGGCAAGACGGAAAGACCCCGUGAACCUUUACUAUAGCUUGACACUGAACAUUGAGCCUUGAUGUGUAGGAUAGGUGGGAGGCUUUGAAGUGUGGACGCCAGUCUGCAUGGAGCCGACCUUGAAAUACCACCCUUUAAUGUUUGAUGUUCUAACGUGGACCCGUGAUCCGGGUUGCGGACAGUGUCUGGUGGGUAGUUUGACUGGGGCGGUCUCCUCCUAAAGAGUAACGGAGGAGCACGAAGGUUGGCUAAUCCUGGUCGGACAUCAGGAGGUUAGUGCAAUGGCAUAAGCCAGCUUGACUGCGAGCGUGACGGCGCGAGCAGGUGCGAAAGCAGGUCAUAGUGAUCCGGUGGUUCUGAAUGGAAGGGCCAUCGCUCAACGGAUAAAAGGUACUCCGGGGAUAACAGGCUGAUACCGCCCAAGAGUUCAUAUCGACGGCGGUGUUUGGCACCUCGAUGUCGGCUCAUCACAUCCUGGGGCUGAAGUAGGUCCCAAGGGUAUGGCUGUUCGCCAUUUAAAGUGGUACGCGAGCUGGGUUUAGAACGUCGUGAGACAGUUCGGUCCCUAUCUGCCGUGGGCGCUGGAGAACUGAGGGGGGCUGCUCCUAGUACGAGAGGACCGGAGUGGACGCAUCACUGGUGUUCGGGUUGUCAUGCCAAUGGCACUGCCCGGUAGCUAAAUGCGGAAGAGAUAAGUGCUGAAAGCAUCUAAGCACGAAACUUGCCCCGAGAUGAGUUCUCCCUGACCCUUUAAGGGUCCUGAAGGAACGUUGAAGACGACGACGUUGAUAGGCCGGGUGUGUAAGCGCAGCGAUGCGUUGAGCUAACCGGUACUAAUGAACCGUGAGGCUUAACCUUACAACGCCGAAGGUGUUU
rnacentral:rRNA from 1 species